rnacentral:rRNA from 1 species
CCUACGGGCGGCAGCAGUGGGGAAUAUUGGGCAAUGGAGGCAACUCUUACCCAGCAAUGCCGCGUGAAUGAAGAAGGUCUUCGGGUUGUAAAGUUCUUUAAUUGGGGACGAAAAAAAUGACGGUACCCAAGUAAUAAGCCCCGGCUAACUACGUGCCAGCAGCCGCGGUAAUACGUAGGGGGCAAGCGUUGUUCGGAAUGACUGGGCGUAAAGGGUGUGUAGGCGGUGUAGCAAGUCAAGGGUGAAAUCCCCGCGCUCAACGUGGGAACUGCCUUUGAAACUGGCAAACUGGAGUGUGUGAGAGGAUAGUGGAAUUCCAGGUGUAGGAGUGAAAUCCGUAGAUAUCUGGAGGAACAUCAGUGGCGAAGGCGACUAUCUGGCACAUAACUGACGCUGAGGAGCGAAAGCGUGGGUAGCAAACAGGAUUAGAUACCCCAGUAGUC